UGAAAUUUCAUCUUCAAUUCUAGUUUGAUCAUUCGUUUCUAUUUUCAUGAUGGAUAUGGACAUUCUGUUCUCUCUGUUGUCCUUGAACACUGAUGCAUGUGGUUUGUAGUUUGUGCCUGGUCUAGCUGCUGAGAGUAGAACUCCUAAAUUUCAUAUGACACCAGAUAUUUUAUCUGAAAUGUUCUUAACUGAUUGAAUGUCUAUGACAUAGGCUCAUCAUAUCAAAUCUGUACACAACAACUCCGCAAAUGCGGUUCUUGCUUUAGAAUCUUUCUAUAAGUGGGCCUUAACUGGUACACCCCUGCAAAACUGCAUGGGGAAUUGUACUCAUUUGUCCGUUUCUUUCAAGUUAUGCCUUGUGCUUGUUACUUUUGCGAAGAUUGUAAUUGCAGUGGACUUGAUUUUAGCUUCUCCGAUGUGUGCCCACAGUGCUCCCACCAACCUGCACGUCACUUCCUCUGGUGGAAGAAAUAUAUUGAAAAACCAUUAAAGUCAUACGAUAAUGAAGGUACAGAUGCGUUGGUGUGGUUGAAGUACAAAAUUCUGAAAAGUC